AGUAAAGAUUUAUCGCUCGGGGAGCGGCCUGCGCAGUAUCAGCUAGUUGGUAGGGUAAGAGCCUACCAAGGCUAUGACGCUUAGGGGAGGUGAGAGCCUGACCCCCACCGAUGGGACUGAGACACGGCCCAUACACCU
rnacentral:rRNA from 1 species